rnacentral:rRNA from 1 species
UGGCAAGCGUUAUCCGGAAUGAUUGGGCGUAAAGGGUGCGCAGGCUGUGCGUCAAGUCUGAAGUGAAAGGUACGGGCUUAACCGGUACAGGCUUUGGAAACUGGCACGCUAGAGGACAGGAGAGGGCGGUGGAACUCCAUGUGUAGCGGUAAAAUGCGUAGAUAUAUGGAAGAACACCAGUUGCGAAGGCGACCGCCUGGACUGUUGCUGACGCUCAGGCACGAAAGCGUGGGGAGC